UACGUAGGGUGCGAGCGUUGUCCGGAAUUAUUGGGCGUAAAGAGCUCGUAGGCGGUGUGUCGCGUCGGUCGUGAAAACUUGGGGCUUAACCCUGAGCUUGCGGUCGAUACGGGCAUCACUGGAGUUCGGCAGGGGAGACUGGAAUUCCUGGUGUAGCGGUGAAGUGCGCAGAUAUCAGGAGGAACACCGGUGGCGAAGGCGGGUCUCUGGACAGUUCCUGACACUGAGGCACGAAGGUCAGGGGAGCAAACGGG
rnacentral:rRNA from 1 species